UCUGCUAUGGGGGUGAUGGCCAG
rnacentral:piRNA from 1 species